rnacentral:lncRNA from 1 species
ACACAUCUAACCACUCUUCAGCUGAUAUCCACUUGCUGACAAAUGAAUCUCUCUGGCCCCUGGACUGUGCCCUGAAACACAGCUUAAAACAAAUGAACAGUAAUCCCAGAGAUCCUGAGAUGAGAAAAGGGUGUUUGACUUAUUCAAAGAAGACCAAGGAAGCCCAAAGACCAGAGAAGAGUGCAGGAAAGGGGCGGCGGUCUGAGAUGCAGUCAGAGCAGUGGCAAGCCCCCAGAGUCUGUGGCAAAGACUUCAGGUUUCAUCCUGAAGAGGAAGACAGGUCUUUGGAGAGUUUUGAUCAAGGAAGUGAGAUGAAAUAUCUUAGGCUUACAAAGAACUACUCUGACAUCUAAAUGGAAAAUGGACUGAUGAAGCAAAAGAAGCCACAAGGAAGCCAGUUCAGAGGCUAUUGAAAUGCUCCAGAUACUCAGAGAGUGAGAGCCUUCAGAUUUGGGUGAGUGAUGCCAUUAGAACCAAGAUUUCUUCCAUUCUUCUGCUCUAUCAUUCUCAGCACAACAUGCUUUUCUCAUUAAGGCCGCUGUGGUUCGUCUUCUGCCUGGGAACUGGAUAAAAACAUCAGUGAAUACCCCAAAGAUUUUCAAAAAUGCUUGUUGAUAAAAUGAAGUCAGAAUGUGAGAUGAGCCCUUCCACCUGAGUGAUGUUGGUCUUGGCUGUGUGAUUUGCUUUGGCUGAUGAUAAGUUGAUGGAAGUGAUAGUAAGACAAUGCUGAGCCUCAUCCUCGGAAGUAUCUCUGCCUUCACCUGGCUUUGUGCACCACUGCCCUGGCUUUGAGAAGAACAUGAGCCCAGUAAAUUGUUAGUCCAGGAAGAAUGAGAGAGAAAGUCCUGAGGCAGAGAAGUGGAGAGAAGUUGCUGCUUGAGCUUGAGAAAGAAUGGUGGCAGAGUACAUGCAUGGAAGUGCUACCAUAGCUGCUCUGAAAUCAGAGGAAAGUGGAAUUAUAAGAAGACCCCAUCUGACAAGGCUCAUAAAGGAGAGCAACUCUUAUGGAAUACAUCCAAGAUAUAUACGUCUUUGAAGAAAGACAUCACUCAACUGUGAAAGAUCACCAUGACCCCUGCUUUAAUUUCAUCAAAAAACUUAGUCCAUCAGCUCAGUUACCCUUUAGCCUUGCAUGGGAAUUGACUCAGAGCUUCUGCAAGAUCAGGCCCUAUAUUAGGUAUUGAGGGUUCAGGGAUGAACUAAGCUGAUCUGGUUCCUGCUCUCUAGGCUGUAGAAGAUGGCAAGUGCUGUGGACUUCAAAGAAAAGAUUUCUGAAGUGUCAUGUUAUGACAAUUGUGAUGCUUCAAACUAUGUUGACUAUUCAUUUACAGCAUAAAGAAGAGUGAGCCACUUUAUCACUGCAGUAAUUAUAUUUUAAAAAUAAAGAAAAUAAAACAAAUGGAGUUUCCCACCCAAUCCAUGGAGACACAGACACGAAGUCUUACUAUAGAUGUGUGGCCAAUCCUUACAUUGCUUUUAUUACAAGCCUGGAAAUGACAAUAAAAUACAUGAACUUGAGAGUAUAUA